rnacentral:rRNA from 1 species
UACGGAGGGGGCAAGCGUUGUUCGGAAUUACUGGGCGUAAAGGGCGCGCAGGCGGCUGCUCAAGUCAGGCGUGAAAGGCCUGGGCUCAACCCGGGAAUUGCGCUUGAGACUGGGCUGGCUUGAGUGCGGGAGAGGAUGGUGGAAUUCCCAGUGUAGAGGUGAAAUUCGUGGAUAUUGGGAAGAACACCGGUGGCGAAGGCGGCCAUCUGGACCGCAACUGACGCUGAGGCGCGAAAGCGUGGGGAGCAAACAGG